CCGCACGGGUGAGUAACACGUAUCCAACCUGCCGUCUACUCUUGGACAGCCUUCUGAAAGGAAGAUUAAUACAAGAUGGCAUCAUGAGUCCGCAUGUUCACAUGAUUAAAGGUAUUCCGGUAGACGAUGGGGAUGCGUUCCAUUAGAUAGUAGGCGGGGUAACGGCCCACCUAGUCUUCGACGGAUAGGGGUUCUGAGAGGAAGGUCCCCCACAUUGGAACUGAGACACGGUCCAA
rnacentral:rRNA from 1 species